AGUACACGAGCGGCGAACGGGUGAGUAACACGUGAGCAAUCUGCCCUUCUCUUCGGAAUAACCAUUGGAAACGAUGGCUAAUGCCGAAUAUGACCUCCUUUCGCAUGUUUGGAGGUGGAAAGCUCCGGCGGAGAAGGAUGAGCUCGCGGCCUAUCAGCUUGUUGGUGAGGUAAUGGCUCACCAAGGCAUUGACGGGUAGCCGGCCUGAGAGGGUGACCGGCCACACUGGGACUGAGACACGGCCCAGACUCCUACGGGAGGCAGCAGUGGGGAAUAUUGGACAAUGGGCGAAAGCCUGAUCCAGCAACGCCGCGUGAGGGAUGACGGCCUUCGGGUUGUAAACCUCUUUCAGCAGGGACGAAGCGAAAGUGACGGUACCUGCAGAAGAAGGACCGGCCAACUACGUGCCAGCAGCCGCGGUAAUACGUAGGGUCCGAGCGUUGUCCGGAAUUAUUGGGCGUAAAGGGCUCGUAGGCGGUUUGUCGCGUCGGGAGUGAAAACUCAGGGCUCAACCCUGAGCGUGCUUCCGAUACGGGCAGACUAGAGGUAUGCAGGGGAGAACGGAAUUCCUGGUGUAGCGGUGGAAUGCGCAGAUAUCA
rnacentral:rRNA from 1 species